rnacentral:rRNA from 1 species
AAAGAGAGUGCAAGAGAACGUGAAAUCGAUAUAAUGGAAACGAAUGAAGUCGACGUAUCUGGUGCGUAUUCAGUUGUUGGGGUUGUUCAAUCGCUUGAAUUGGGUAUUCCGCAAGGUUGCCUGUUCGGGUGUUGUUGACGGCUUCGGCAAUGCGUUUGCGUACGGAGUGCGAUGGGUUGGUUGGUGUUGUUGGUGGAAGCAGUUUCAGAGGAUGAUGCUUGCGCAAGCGGUGUCAUAACCUGGGAUUGUGGAAGCCGAUUAAUGCUUUCCGAUUUUGUUUUGGAACACUGGUCUUGAUUCGGUGUUGUGUGUGGGAAUUGGUGUUGUUUGUUGUUGGAACGCAUGCGUUCUGCGGCGAAUAAUGUCGGUUUUUGCGCGCAAUUCCUCUGUUGUUCCACUCGUCGUAUAGUCGAUCACUCAUUCGACCCGUCUUGAAACACGGACCAAGGAGUUUAUAGUACACGCAAGUCAUUGAGUUAUGAACGAAACUCAAAGGCGUAAUGAAAGUGAAACUGCGAACGGUAUUGAAAUGCGAUCGUACUUGAAGAGUUAAAAAGGACUGUACGAGCAACAUUGCCCCGUAUUGUGGACUUGUCCAGGUGCGGAGGUUAAGCGUGUGCAAUGAGACCCGAAAGAUGGUGAACUAUGCCUGAACAGGAUGAAGCCAGAGGAAACUCUGGUGGAAGUCCGAAACGGUUCUGACGUGCAAAUCGAUCGUCUGAUUUUGGUAUAGGAGCGAAAGA